GGGGGCCCGCACAAGCGGCGGAGCAUGCGGAUUAAUUCGAUGCAACGCGAAGAACCUUACCAAGGCUUGACAUGGACCGGACCGGGCUGGAAACAGUCCUUCCCCUUUGGGGCCGGUUCACAGGUGGUGCAUGGUUGUCGUCAGCUCGUGUCGUGAGAUGUUGGGUUAAGUCCCGCAACGAGCGCAACCCUCGUUCCAUGUUGCCAGCGCGUAAUGGCGGGGACUCAUGGGAGACUGCCGGGGUCAACUCGGAGGAAGGUGGGGACGACGUCAAAUCAUCAUGCCCCUUAUGUCUUGGGCUUCACGCAUGCUACAAUGGCCGGUACAAAGGGUUGCGAUACUGUGAGGUGGAGCUAAUCCCAAAAAGCCGGUCUCAGUUCGGAUUGGGGUCUGCAACUCGACCCCAUGAAGUCGGAGUCGCUAGUAAUCGCAGAUCAGCAACGCUGCGGUGAAUACGUUCCCGGGCCUUGUACACACCGCCCGUCAAGUCACGAAAGUUGGUAACACCCGAAGCCGGUGGCCUAACCCCUUGUGGGAGGGAGCUGUCGAAGGUGGGACUGGCGAUUGGGACUAAGUCGUAACAAGGUAACCGUAAGGGC
rnacentral:rRNA from 1 species